AAUAGAUACCCGGGUAGUCCACGCCGUAAACGAUGAGUGCUAAGUGUUAGGGGGUUUCCGCCCCUUAGUGCUGCAGCUAACGCAUUAAGCACUCCGCCUGGGGAGUACGGUCGCAAGACUGAAACUCAAAGGAAUUGACGGGGGCCCGCACAAGCGGUGGAGCAUGUGGUUUAAUUCGAAGCAACGCGAAGAACCUUACCAGGUCUUGACAUCCCAUUGACCGCUAUGGAGACAUAGCUUUCCCUUCGGGGACAGUGGUGACAGGUGGUGCAUGGUUGUCGUCAGCUCGUGUCGUGAGAUGUUGGGUUAAGUCCCGCAACGAGCGCAACCCUUGUUCUUAGUUGCCAUCAUUUAGUUGGGCACUCUAAGGAGACUGCCGGUGACAAACCGGAGGAAGGUGGGGAUGACGUCAAAUCAUCAUGCCCCUUAUGACCUGGGCUACACACGUGCUACAAUGGACGGUACAAACGGUUGCCAACCCGCGAGGGGAGCUAAUCCGAUAAAACCGUUCUCAGUUCGGAUUGUAGGCUGCAACUCGCCUAC
rnacentral:rRNA from 1 species